rnacentral:misc_RNA from 1 species
CGCAUUUCAGUCGCGUUGUUGUUGUUGUUUCGAGUCGACUACAAAAAAACAAGAAGAAAAAGUCUUAACGUAACAAAAAGUAUUAGCAUUGAUGUAUAGUAAAUAGUGGAAAAGUGUUUAAUGGGUACAUAGUGCAUAUGUAUAGAUACGGACAUAGGUAUAAGCAUGGGCAUGGUCGAGACGGCGACGUCGGAGUAUCGCUUGGAAGCCAACACCUCCUACACGUACCUCCUGGUGACGCUCAACUUGACGCUGACUCUCAUUGUAAUGCUAGGCGCGUGUCUCUGCUGCAAAAAGAAAAUACCAAAAAAUGAUUUGCUCGGACUCGAGGGUAUGGUCAAGCUGAAGAAUCCGGAUGAGGUCAUUGUGGUAACCAGCCUGGUGGGCAACAGUGAGUCGCAGGCGGAGCUGAAUGCCUCCACUGUCUCGAAUGCUGACUCGGAAAAGCGAUCAAGUACAGCGGCGCAUCGUAGUUUGCCUGAUAUUCCUGUGGCCGAAAGCAACGAUAAUGGCUCCGAAUUAUACGAGACUGUGGCGGAUAAACAGCUUGUGGAUGCACUCAAUGCACGUAGUCAAAGUCCCCAGCCCAGCCUUAAGAAACAGACAAGCGUUUCGCAGCACAGCUCGAUAAGCCAGGCGGAUGAUGUCAGCUCGCCAUAUUCGCGUGUCAAGGGACUACCGCAUGACUAUGCCAAAGUUCGAGGCACUGAGCAUCCCUAUGCCCAGCUAAAUGCACCGUCCACAUCCCAUUCGGCGCAAGGUGCUGCUGCAGCGGCGGCUGCGGUGGUAGCAGGCUCAUCCAGUGAGGGCGCCGAUCACCUGCAUCGGAGCUCCCAGCACAGCGACGGCUCGAGAGACCACAAUGACUCCGUUCCAGCGCAAGUGGAAAUUCCGGCAGCUUCGGCCAUUGCGGGCAUGAUAUCAGCCAGCCAAGAUCUGCCUUACAUGACGCCGCCCAUUGCUAACCAGCACUUUAGUGGUGACUCGCAGGACUCGUCAAAGGGAUACACAAGUAUUAGCGUGCGUGAGCCGCUGGCCAAUAUACUGGCACAACAGCCACCGGGCAAGCCUCCUAACAGAAAUGCCUCCCUGGCACGAGAUGGAAAUGACUCUCAUUAUGCCACCGUAUCCGAUGAUUCAGAUGAAACGUAUGCCGCCAUUGAGGAUCCCAACAAUCGUCACCCAACGAAUGCCGCCGAUAUUUAUACCAGCGGCUCGGAGACCUACGCACAAAUCCAGCCCAUGCAGAUCAAUCCCAUAGUGGUGGCCGUUGAAAUCAACAACAGCAGCAGCCUGCCAACAACGAGCUCAGCCGCGGGCGUGGUCAGUGGUGGCACCCAGAGUGGAGCUCUGAGGCCGACUAACAGCAACAUUGGACCAACUGAUCAUGCCGUGCCCGUCCCCCCGCCUGUGGAUAGCUUACGAGCGCAAAUGCACUCACGACAGGCAUCGUCCUCGUCGAAUAAUAGCACUUCUGUGUGUAAUCUGGGCUCGCCGAAGCCGGAGAAGCGGCAGGCGAACUCGCCGCUGCCACCGACGCCCAAGUCAAGUGCCCAUCUGCAUGCGAGCAGCAUUAGCAACCUCGCCUCUGCCCGUAAUUCUGUAAUUUCGGUGAUUGAAGCUGGCGGCGAUGGUCACGAAGUUGAGGCAUCCGCCGAGGCAUCUCCACAGCGCAAGCACAGCAAAAGUCUCAGUCCCUCAAAGGAUGGCGGCGGCGAGGGCAAUAAAAACAUUGAGGGCAUGUAUGCCAAGGUCAUGAAGAAACACAAAUUCUCUCGCAAUUCUCCCUCGUCGCAGAACAGCUCGCCCAUUCUCACGCGCAAGCAGCAGCAAGAUACGUUGGGAGUGAGCCCCUUGGACAGUGCGGCAGCGUUGCUUGUGGACCCACAGAAGGGUGCUCGCGUGCGUAGCAACAGCUACUCGGCCAAGGAUCACGGCUAUGAGACGAUCCCAGCAGAUGGCCAGCUUAUGCACGAGAAUCGCAAAUCGGAUUGCUAUGCAGCCAAUAUGCUGCAGAAGGAGCGCCAACACGAAGGAGUCGAAUUGCCAAAAUGAGAAAUUUUCGUAUUUGUUCAGUUGAAACGACGAAAAUUUCAUGAGUUUUUAUUUGGAAAUAGCCGUGCGAUUGCCCCCCAGCCUGUGACGAAAGCGACAGCGACUGGGAUCAGCGGCGCCAGCACAAAGCACUAUGAGACUAUUAGCCAGCCAACGCC